UCCGUAGGUGGAUCAAUCAGUCAGUGGUGAAAUCCUGCGGCUUAACCGUAGAAUUGCCAUUGAUACUGUUGUCCUUGAGUAUAGUUGAAGUGGGCGGAAUAUGUAAUGUAGCGGUGAAAUGCAUAGAUAUUACAUAGAACACCAAUUGCGAAGGCAGCUCACUAAGCUAUCACUGACGCUGAGGCACGAAAGCGUGGGGAGCGAACAGGAUUAGAUACCCUGGUAGUCC
rnacentral:rRNA from 1 species